UCCUUAAGAAUUCCUUUGAGCAAUGUUUCGACCAUUUUUAAGUUCAAAAUUAUGCAAACUCAACCUUAAUGUAUACUUGCGUGUAAAAUAUGUUAAUUUAAUGUAAUCUGAGUAUUCAACUAAAGCUUCUGAUAAUUUAUAUCAGUUACAAUUUUGAAGGUAUUGUGUUAUGACAUGUUGUAAGCAGAUUGAUAUUGUAAUUUAUGCUAAAAUCAAAAAGUUAUUUUUCACAAAACCCUUGUCUUAGCUUUUACUUGACAAAUAUAGAUAUUAGAAGUCGGCCGAGAACUCAGUGGAGGUAAGCAACAUUCUUGGGAUUUAGGUGUUGGUUGUAAGUGUUUUUGAAAAGACACCAGACCUCAUAGGGAUUUGCCAAUUUUGUUUGUCAUAUCGGUGAAUCAUCUACGUUUCUAUUGAGUUCGAGUAUUUAUGUGUUGAUCACAGGGAAGCUGUUUUGUUGUAUUUUAGAGAGAUGCGUUUGCGUGCGGACACUACAUUAGUUUUAAUGGCUAAUGAGGCCAUCAUUUAAUGGUGGUUGAUAUUUUUGUCUUUGUUAAUUAACUUGGCACUUAAACAUUGAUUCCUUAAUAUGGCAUCAUAAAGGAAAUAUUUUACCAUCCCAUCACGAGAACAUCGAGUCAAGUUUUAUGAGAACGCAUCGUUUUGAUUAUAAUAAUAAAAAUAGCAGCAUGUAAUAGCGUUUCUGCACUUUUACACCGCCAAAAACCGAUUCCUAUCAAUCAUAAACCCUCCGAAGAACGUUUCCCUGGUUCGAGCGAGCUUUGUCGAAUCAGAUUUUUGGUCUUCGGAGAUCAAACAGAGAGACUUCACCCCUCGGUUCACUUGGUGCCCUUCACCGAACGACAUCUCCAUUGAAUCCAGGUUUUUGCUCUCUCUCUCUCUCUCUCAUUUCUCAUUUUGAAUAAUAGGCUUCUUAUUUCAUAGCUAUUCAUUAUCAUUAUCAUUAUUUUAGGCUUAUUCUUUUCUUCACACAAUUGCAUGUAUUUUGAUUUAGCGUACAAUGAUUAAUGGAUGGAUGACCUCUCUAGUUUGAGUGUUUAGGAGCUUCGUCGUCCAGUGGUUCGAUACUCAUUCAUAUUGAUGCCCUGAGGGAAGCUGAGGCUGGAUUGGAAGCUCGCCCAGAGCAACUCCAUAGGUUGGAAGAACGUCUCCGAGGCAUUGGGCCCUUGGGCAAACGUUUCAAUUAGCUCAAGCUCCAAGUUGAAGAGAGGUCUCAUGAACUGGAACGGGUGAGAGAACGUGUUAAGAAUACGGCUCACCACCAACUUUUCGAAGAGAUGAAGACCUUGAAGAAGCAAUGUCUCGAAUUAGAAGAGACCGUCCAAGCCUCUCGAGAAGUCGAGGGGGAAGGCUCCAAGAAGGUCAAAGAGCUCGAAUACAAGAUCAAUAACUCCAAGUAGCUCAAGGAGAAAGAGCUCAAAGAAGCUGAGGUGGAAGUCAAGGCUUCUAAGAAGGCCGUGGAGACCUCCAAAAACAAAUGGACUGAUAGGGAGGCUGAGGAAGCGAGUUUGAAAAUGGAGAUCAACGACUUGCAGAAGGCUAUCUCGGAUGAGGAAGAUCAACUCCGGGCUUGUGACGAGGUCAUUGCUGGAUUUGAGACCGAGUGCACUCAUUUGGUCGAGGCUGUGCUGGAGGCCAAAGAGGCUCUCAAGGCUCAGAAAGAGGUCGUGGCCAAGAACAACAAGUAGAUGCUCAACGGGCAAGCCAACAGCGAGAAAAUUGCCAAUGACAAUCACGACAAGGGAUUGAAAGUACAAGAGCUCAAACACAAACUAUCCAAGUCAUUUUGAGUGGAACUCAAUUUGAACUAAUUGCUGUUCUCUUGAAAAAGGCUGCCGAAGCCUAUGACGAUGCCGAAAAAUUGGUUCAACACAUGCAAAACAAGUAUAAAUGGAUUGGUUUCGAUCGAAAGAUUUUUAGCGAGUCCGGGUCUGUCUACGAUUUCAAGGCCACUGAUUCGCAAGAGGCCGGGAAAAAAAUCCAGAAGUUGGAGGAAACCAAGGAGAAGCUCGAGAGAACAGUGAACAUGCGAGCCAUUUUGCCUGGGACCAAAGCUAAAUUGCAAUCACCCGAGGGCAUGGAUGUUCUCGAUGAGGUCGAGGCAAGUUCCACGUUUCUUCAACAUUUUUGUUAAGAGAUAACACAUUUGUUUUCAACUGCCAGGUUCCGGCGUUUUACCAAUUCUUAGUUGUCCACUUUAUUUUUCCCUAGAGCCAUUGUACGCAAUAGACACCGGAAUUUAAUUGCUUAACUCUUAAAACAGUUGGAAAAUGAAAUUUUGGGCGUAUUUACACUAGGAGAGAAACCCAGGAUUGAAGUUUGAGGAUUGAAGGACUAGUUUUGGGGCGAGUUCGGCAAAAGACUCGAGUCCGGCAGAGGGCUCCAGUCUUUCAUUGUACUCAAUCGAACGAGAAGACUCAAAUGAAGAAAAACUCGCCCUAGCACUACUCCUUCAUUAACCCUCAAACCGGAUUCCAUUCUGGUUUUCCAUCCUAGUGUAAAGCCGCCCUUAAUCUUCCAGAGUAUGUCAGAACCGCCCCGGACUCGGAACAAAAAUGAAUAGCUACCAUUAAAUGAAACUAUAUGACGCUUCUAAAACAAAAUGACCGGAUUUGUACAAAUUUUUCGUACACGUAUAUUUUUGUAGAAAUAAACUGUUUAAAAACCCAUAGUAACAAAACCACUU